rnacentral:rRNA from 1 species
CCCUUAGAUGUUCUGGGCUGCACACGUGCUACACUGGCAGGUUCAGCGAGCUUCAUGCCCUGAUCUGAAAGGAAUGGGCAAUCUUUUCAAAACCUGCCGUGCUUGGGAUAGAUGUUUGCAAUUAUUCAUCUUCAACGAGGAUUGCCUUGUAAGCGCACGUCAUCAGCGUGCAUUGAAUACGACCCUGUAUUCUGUACACACCGCCCGUCGCUCCUACCGAUUGAAGUUUUCGGUGAGUUGACAGGAGGAUUUUUUUGAAACUGGUUCGCCAGUGGAUUUUAGAUCCAAAUGCCAACGAAUCGAUGGCUUUAGAGGAAGGAGAAGUCGUAACA